rnacentral:tRNA from 1 species
GGCGGCGUAGCUCAGAGGUAGAGCAGAGGUCUCAUAAGCCUCGUGUCGGCGGUUCGAUUCCGCCCGCCGCUACCA